GUAAUUUUUUUUUUAAAAUAUAAAAAUAUUAAAAAUAAUUAUAAAUUUUAAAGUUUUAGUAUUUUAUAAAGAAAAAAUAAUUUUAAUAAUAGUUUAUUAGUAUUGUGAAAUAAAAUUGAAAUAUAAUGAAAAAUUUUUAUUUUAAAAGAAAAUUUAAUUUAUUGUAUCUUGUGUAUCAGAGUAUAUUAAAUAAAAAAUAUAAAUAUAUUUUUCUCGAUUUCAAAAGAUUUAAUAAAUUAUAAAUGUUAAUGUGAUAAAAUUAUAUUAAAUAGUUUAUUAGAAAUGAAAUGUUAUUCGUUUUUGAAGGUAUCUAGUUUUUUAAGAAAUAAAUUUAAUUUAGUUUUUAAAAUUUACUUGUUUAAUUAAUUAAUUAAGUAAUUUUUAAAAAAUAAUAUUUUAUGGGAUAAGCUAUAAAAUAAAUUUUUAUAAAUAAUAAAUAAUAUUUUAAAUUAUAUAUGUUUAAAAGUAUCAAUUUUUAUUAAGUUUGUUAUAAAUUAAUUUUUUUAAUAAAUUAUUUAUUAUAUUUUAAAUUUUUAUUAAAAUAUUUAUUUUAAUAUUAAAAAUAAAGAAAUAAUGAUAUAAUUAGUAUAUUAAUUUUGUAAUUAUAUAUUUUAAAAUGAAAAGUUUAUGUAAAGAAUUCGGCAAAAAUAAUGUUCGCCUGUUUAACAAAAACAUGUCUUUUAGAAAUUAAUUUAAAGUCUAACCUGCCCACUGAAUUUUUUUUAAAUGGCCGCAGUAUAUUAACUGUGCAAAGGUAGCAUAAUCAUUAGUCUUUUAAUUGAAGGCUGGAAUGAAUGGUUGGACGAAAUAUUAACUGUUUCAUUUAAAUUUAUAAUAAAACUUUAUUUUUUAGUCAAAAAGCUAAAAUAUAUUUAAAAGACGAGAAGACCCUAUGAAUCUUUAUAUAUUGUAUAUUUUAAUUUUGUAGAUUAAUUUAAUUAUAAUAUUAUUAAUAUAUUUUAUUGGGGUGAUAUUAAAAUUUAAAAAACUUUUAAACUUUAAACCAUUAAUUUAUGAAUAAAUGAUCCAUUUUUAAUGAUUAAAAAUUUAAGUUACUCUAGGGAUAACAGCGUAAUUUUUUUGGAGAGUUCAUAUCGAUAAAAAAGAUUGCGACCUCGAUGUUGGAUUAAGAUAUAAUUUUAGGUGUAGCCGUUUAAAUUUAAAGUCUGUUCGACUUUUAAAAUCUUACAUGAUCUGAGUUCAAACCGGCGUGAGCCAGGUUGGUUUCUAUCUUUAAUAAAUUAAUAUAUUUUAGUACGAAAGGAUUAAAUAUAUAAAUAAUUUUAUUUUAUAGAUAAGAAUAUAAUUAAUAUUUAUAAAACUAUUUUGGCAGAUUAAU
rnacentral:rRNA from 1 species